GAUGAAGAACGUAGCGAAAUGCGAUAAGUAGUGUGAAUUGCAGAAUUCAGUGAAUCAUCGAAUCUUUGAACGCACAUUGCGCCCCAUGGUAUUCCGUGGGGCAUGCCUGUUCGAGCGUCAUUUACCCCCUCAAGCUCCGCUUGGUGUUGGGCGUCUGUCCCGCUUCGCGCGCGGACUCGCCCCAAGGGUAUUGGCAGCGGUCGUGCCAGCUUCUCGCGCAGCACAUUGCGCUUCUCGAGGCACCGGUGGGCCCGCGUCCAUCAAGCUCACCCCCCCAGUUUGACCUCGGAUCAGGUAGGGAUACCCGCUGAACUUAAGCAUAUCAAAAGCGGAGGA
rnacentral:misc_RNA from 1 species